AGCAACACCAGAUGCUUAACCCACUGAGCAAGGCCAGGGAUGGAACCUGUGUCCUCAUGGAUACUACUCAGGUUUGUUACCAAUGAGCCACAAUGGGAACUCUCAAAAGUUGCUAUUUCCAUGUGACUUAUCAGUUUUGAUUCUCUGAUCUGAACUUAACCAGCCUUUGGAACUCUUCAUCCCAAAAGAAUGACCUUUUUUUUUUUUUUUUUGUAAAAUCAGAAAAUAGUUCACAUGAAAAUAGUUAUUUGCCUCUUUAAGAUAUUGAAGCAUCUUUAAAAUUGAUUCAAAAUAUAAAUUCUGGAUUUAACUAAAUCAGAUCACUGAUUUAAAAUGAGUAGUGAUGAAAUAUUGCAAAGCUACACCUGGAUUUUAUUUUCUCUCCAGCCUCUGAGAGCUUGGAAGCUGUCAUGGCAAGUGGAGACUGAGUUUUCCUUAGAGGCUGAGGGUCCUUCUCAGCAAGGAACUGCACAUCCCAUCUUUUUCGGGUGAGUUGUCUAUGACCUGAGCUCAGUUUCAUGGCCAGCAGAGGUCUGAUCACAGUUUCUAACUAGGAUCUGGGACUGAUUUGUGGUGUGACUGAAGAAUGCCAAAAGGUCCAAGCAGGUCACAAUAUUUAGUCCAUAUGUGCACAGGAGACUGCGUCUGUGACAUGGGGCCUAUCACUUAGUUGGGGGGCUGUCUUGGGAACACCAAGGGCCAACCCUAAGCUCAGGCCAAUUCCAGGAUUUCCACAAGUCAGAUGUCCUUUCUAUGAUUCCCUCCCACUGCCCAGGACUAAGGGCUGUCCUGUACAACCGUAUGGGGCACCCCUGGGUGAAAUCUAGCUUGUGUUCUACUAGGCAAGGAGUGCAUCCAGGUGGGGGUGCCACAGCACACCUGAGCCGUGCCUCCAGGUAACUAGGACCGAGAUGGCUGGUGACAUCCCUGUCACCAACUAGAGAGGGAGUAACUCUCUGGUGAAGUGUGAACACUCGUCUAACCAGAGCCAGCAUUUGGCAAGUUGAGGCUUCCUCUGGUCAUUCCAAAUCCUCAGGAACACGCAUUAUGGAUUCUGGUGGUUUCCAGGUCACGGCUGUCUAGCUGUGCCUAAAGGAAUUUCAUGGGCUAAAGGGGACCCUUCUCAAAACGAGAUUGAGAGGUAAAAUGGAGCUCUUUUAAGAAAAUGAGAAAUGUAUGCCUCUAAAGCUGAACCCAUUUAAACAGCUAAAACUGACUGUAUUAAUAAGAACACUUUCCUGCCUUCUUGAACAGCCUAUAGUUGGGCCUGGUCACACAUUUUCUUGGCUGUCACUGGAUAUAAAAUGUCUCUGUAGUGAUUCCAGGGCCUAUCAGGCACGCAGACCCUAAAUGGUCCUGUCUGGGUUUCUCACUGGGCAGGUGCGCAGAACUCAGGAGCCCUCCAUCAAGUAAAGCACAAGUGCUCAGUGGACACUUGGCAACGUCGUCUUGGCCACUCCGAAGUUAUAUUUCCUUCCCAGUUCUCAGUGUGUCCUCCAAAUCAAGAGAGCAAGCAAUGUGAUGGAAAGAAAGCAUUUUAAAAACCCAUGCAGUGUGAAGGAAGGAAAUGUACAUCUGGUCUUCGUCCCAGGUUGCUGACACAGAGCUUUUAAGAUCUUUGGAAUUUCUUGAAUGAGAGGGUUGGAGGAAAAAUACUUGCCUAUGACAUAAGGCUACGUGGACAAGAAAAAGUCAGACCAGAGCCAUGCCCCGCCUCAGGCAACCUGGAUGGGCUUCGAGAGGCGCUGGCACUCUGUCCUGAGGGCCUGAGCUGCCUUGCUGUGGGGCUGCCCCAUCAGACCUCCUCCCCCUCCUCAGUCAUCAGGUCCCCAGGUUUCAGAUUAGCCACAGCUGCACCUACUGGCUGUCACUAGAAGUAGAAGAGUUCGCGCUGGGGAUGUAGAGUACGGCUGGCAAACGCUGAGGUUGUUUUAAACAGCAGACUGAAAACUGCCAAUGGAGAGGCUUUUCCACCUGAAAAUGCUCCCUUAAAUAUCCAUCAACCUCCAGACUAUUUUAGUGACGAUUAUACGCCUUUGGUUGUCACUCCACUGCACAGAGUGACGAUCUCAAUGUUCUUAUUAAAAUUUGGUAAUUUUCAA